AAAUGAAUAGACGGGGGCCCGCACAAGCGGCGGAGCAUGUGGAUUAAUUCGAUGCAACGCGAAGAACCUUACCUGGGCUUGACAUGGACCGGAUCGGCGUAGAGAUACGUUUUCCCUUGUGGUCGGUUCACAGGUGGUGCAUGGUUGUCGUCAGCUCGUGUCGUGAGAUGUUGGGUUAAGUCCCGCAACGAGCGCAACCCUUGUCUUAUGUUGCCAGCACAUUGUGGUGGGUACUCAUGAGAGACUGCCGGGGUUAACUCGGAGGAAGGUGGGGAUGACGUCAAAUCAUCAUGCCCCUUAUGUCCAGGGCUUCACACAUGCUACAAUGGUCGGUACAGCGAGUUGCCACACCGUAAGGUGGAGCUAAUCUCUUAAAGCCGGCCUCAGUUCGGAUUGGGGUCUGCAACUCGACCCCAUGAAGUCGGAGUCGCUAGUAAUCGCAGAUCAGCAACGCUGCGGUGAAUACGUUCCCGGGCCUUGCACACACCGCCCGU
rnacentral:rRNA from 1 species